GCGUCUGUUCCGUGCUUCCUUACUUCCCAUAGUGCACGUGACGUAUGGAAUGUAAAGAAGUAUGGAGCCGCGCU
rnacentral:pre_miRNA from 12 species